rnacentral:rRNA from 3 species
UAGGUGUGUGUUCCAGGUAAAUCCGGUUCACUUUAACACUGAGGCGUGACGACGAGGCACUACGGUGCUGAAGCAACAAAUGCCCUGCUUCCAGGAAAAGCCUCUAAGCAUCAGGUAACAUCAAAUCGUACCCCAAACCGACACAGGUGGUCAGGUAGAGAAUACCAAGGCGCUUGAGAGAACUCGGGUGAAGGAACUAGGCAAAAUGGUGCCGUAACUUCGGGAGAAGGCACGCUGACACGUAGGUGAAGUGAUUUACUCAUGGAGCUGAAGUCAGUCGAAGAUACCAGCUGGCUGCAACUGUUUAUUAAAAACACAGCACUGUGCAAACACGAAAGUGGACGUAUACGGUGUGACGCCUGCCCGGUGCCGGAAGGUUAAUUGAUGGGGUCAGCGCAAGCGAAGCUCCUGAUCGAAGCCCCGGUAAACGGCGGCCGUAACUAUAACGGUCCUAAGGUAGCGAAAUUCCUUGUCGGGUAAGUUCCGACCUGCACGAAUGGCGUAAUGAUGGCCAGGCUGUCUCCACCCGAGACUCAGUGAAAUUGAACUCGCUGUGAAGAUGCAGUGUACCCGCGGCAAGACGGAAAGACCCCGUGAACCUUUACUAUAGCUUGACACUGAACAUUGAGCCUUGAUGUGUAGGAUAGGUGGGAGGCUUUGAAGUGUGGACGCCAGUCUGCAUGGAGCCGACCUUGAAAUACCACCCUUUAAUGUUUGAUGUUCUAACGUGGACCCGUUACCCGGGUUGCGGACAGUGUCUGGUGGGUAGUUUGACUGGGGCGGUCUCCUCCUAAAGAGUAACGGAGGAGCACGAAGGUUGGCUAAUCCUGGUCGGACAUCAGGAGGUUAGUGCAAUGGCAUAAGCCAGCUUGACUGCGAGCGUGACGGCGCGAGCAGGUGCGAAAGCAGGUCAUAGUGAUCCGGUGGUUCUGAAUGGAAGGGCCAUCGCUCAACGGAUAAAAGGUACUCCGGGGAUAACAGGCUGAUACCGCCCAAGAGUUCAUAUCGACGGCGGUGUUUGGCACCUCGAUGUCGGCUCAUCACAUCCUGGGGCUGAAGUAGGUCCCAAGGGUAUGGCUGUUCGCCAUUUAAAGUGGUACGCGAGCUGGGUUUAGAACGUCGUGAGACAGUUCGGUCCCUAUCUGCCGUGGGCGCUGGAGAACUGAGGGGGGCUGCUCCUAGUACGAGAGGACCGGAGUGGACGCAUCACUGGUGUUCGGGUUGUCAUGCCAAUGGCACUGCCCGGUAGCUAAAUGCGGAAGAGAUAAGUGCUGAAAGCAUCUAAGCACGAAACUUGCCCCGA